rnacentral:misc_RNA from 1 species
GCGGAAGCUGCGGCUGGAUCACCUCCUUUCUAGGGAUACCGAGGCUCUUACCUCGGUAGGCGCCGGAGCCGUAGAUGAGAUACGAGCUCAGUUCCAGACCUCGGUCUGGGCUGGACUCCCUCGUCCGGUCAUCCGGUUCGCCUAGAAGCACGUCGACCUCGAGAGAGGCGAGUCGGAGCUCGGACGCAAGUCCUGGCGCCGGCGAGCUGGACGUCACGCUGCUGAGUUUUGAGGGACCGUGCCCCUGGGCCGGUGUUCUCGCUUCGGGUCGCGUGGACCCGCGCGCACCUUGAAAACUCCAUAGCAGUCACAUAAAGGUGUUCUUCACGAUCAAGAGAUCAAGAGCACAC